rnacentral:rRNA from 1 species
AACGAACGCUGGCGGCAUGCCUAACACAUGCAAGUCGAACGAGACCUUCGGGUCUAGUGGCGCACGGGUGCGUAACGCGUGGGAAUCUACCCUCAGGUUCGGAAUAACUCAGAGAAAUUUGAGCUAAUACCGGAUGAUGACGUAAGUCCAAAGAUUUAUCGCCUGAGGAUGAGCCCGCGUAGGAUUAGGUAGUUGGUGAGGUAAAGGCUCACCAAGCCGACGAUCCUUAGCUGGUCUGAGAGGAUGAUCAGCCACACUGGGACUGAGACACGGCCCAGACUCCUACGGGAGGCAGCAGUGGGGAAUAUUGGACAAUGGGCGAAAGCCUGAUCCAGCAAUGCCGCGUGAGUGAUGAAGGCCUUAGGGUUGUAAAGCUCUUUUACCCGGGAUGAUAAUGACAGUACCGGGAGAAUAGGCUCCGGCUAACUCCGUG